rnacentral:lncRNA from 1 species
UUUCACCUCUACCGGCUCUAUGUACCUUCAACGAACAUCUACCAAUCGGAUAUAUUGGUAACCAAAAACCAAAAUCUAAACAUGCAUACUAUCGGAUAUAUAUAUAUAUAUAUAUAAUAUAUAUAUAUAUAAAUUAUUGUGGAGACUGAAAAUAUAAAAAUAAAGAAUAAUGAACGCAAAAAAAAAAAAUCAAAUGUUUUGAUCCAUUUGCAAAAUAUAAGCAUAGCUCAUCGUGUUUUAAUAACGGUAUGCGAAUUUAAGUAAAAUUCACAGCCUAGACUUAAGGUUAGAUCUUGUUCAGAGCAUAAUCAAUCUGAUGAGAACAAAACCCAUAAAAUGGUCUGCAAACCGUAUGUGUGAACACAAGGUCAAAAUGUCAACAAAAACAGGUAAGACUGUUGAUCCACAAAGCACAAAUGAUAUGGGGACGCGUGUUACGAAAUCGAGAGCAUCUGGCCCCUCUCUAAUGUAUAUAACACGUGUCAUCUCCUCAUUGCAUCUAAUCUCAUUACCGGCUCAUAAAUUACGAAAAUAAUAGGUUUUACUUUGAGCUAGCUUACUGAAUUAUGUAUUUUAAUAAAUUUGUAAAUUCAGAUAAAACCUAUUGUUAUUAAUUUUAUGAUUUGGCUCAUUGUUUCUGAUUUAUAAAUUUUAAUUUAAACAAUGUAUUACUAAAACCAUAAAAAAAAUUACUAAUAAAUCUUGUAGAUUUGAAAGAUUUUUUGUUCAACAUAUAAAUAAUUAAAUCUGAAAAGAAAACUUCUACAUUUCUAAAUUUAAUUUUAAAAUGAAUAUAGUUUAUAUAAUAUAUAUAAAAGUAAAAUAAAAUUAUCGAAGCCAUAACAAAAUUAAAG